AAGUCUGGAGUGAAACGUAUGAGCUCAACUCAUGCAUGGCUCUGGAAACUGGAGGACUGGAGAGCAGGAGAGGGCGGUGGAACUCCAUGUGUAGCGGUAAAAUGCGUAGAUAUAUGGAAGAACACCAGUGGCGAAGGCGGCCGCCUGGCCUGUUGCUGACGCUGAGGCACGAAAGCGUGGGGAGCAAAUAGGAUUAGAUACCCUAGUAGUCCACGCCGUAAACGAUGAGGACCAAGUGUUGGGGGUGAAACCUCAGUGCUGAAGUUAACGCAGUGAGUCCUCCGCCUGGGGAGUAUGCACGCAAGUGUGAAACUCAAAGGAAUUGACGGGGGCCCGCACAAGCGGUGGAGUAUGUGGUUUAAUUCGAAGCAACGCGAAGAACCUUACCAGGCCUUGACAUGGGAUGCGAAGACGCAGAGAUGCGUUGGAGGUCAACAUCCACACAGGUGGUGCAUGGUUGUCGUCAGCUCGUGUCGUGAGAUGUUGGGUCAAGUCCCGCAACGAGCGCAACCCUUGUGGCAUGUUGCUAACAGGAAAGCUGAGGACUCAUGCCAGACUGCCGGUGACAAACCGGAGGAAGGCGGGGAUGACGUCAAAUCAUCAUGCCCCUUAUGGCCUGGGCUACACACGUACUACAAUGGCGGCUACAAAGAGCGGCGAGACAGUAAUGUCGAGCGAAUCUCAUAAAAGCCGUCCCAGUUCGGAUUGGAGCCUGCAACCCGGCUCCAUGAAGUUGGAAUCACUAGUAAUCGCGGAUCAGCAUGCCGCGGUGAAUACGUUCCCGGGCCUUGCACACACCGCCCGUCAAG
rnacentral:rRNA from 1 species